rnacentral:tRNA from 1 species
GCCCUGGUGGUGGAACUGGUAGACACGCAGGACUUAAAAUCCUGUGUCCGUAAGGACGUACGGGUUCAAGUCCCGUCUGGGGUAC